UGGGGAAUAUUGCACAAUGGGGGAAACCCCGAUGCAGCGACGCCGCGUGAGCGAAGAAGGCCUUCGGUUCGUAAAGCUCUUUUAUGAGGGAAGAUAAUGACGGUACCUCAAGAAAAAGCCCCGGCUAACUACGUGCCAGCAGCCGCGGUAAUACGUAGGGGGCUAGCGUUGUCCGGAAUCACUGGGCGUAAAGGGUUCGCCGGCGGAAUAACAAGUCAGAUGUGAAAGGCAUGGGCUCAACCCAUGUAGGCAUUUGAAACUGUAAUUCUUGGGAAGUGGAGAGGGAAGUGGAAUUCCUGGUGUAGCGGUGAAAUGCGUAGAUAUUAGAAGGAAUACCUGUAGCGAAGGCGACUUACUGGACACAAAUCUGACGCUGAGGAACGAAAGCGUGGGUAGCAAACAGG
rnacentral:rRNA from 1 species